rnacentral:lncRNA from 1 species
AAUACUGCAAAGUUUGGGAUGCACAAUCUACAAAACCCCACAGCCCCUGAGAAUUCUCUCGCCUGCCUUCGGCCCUUAGGCUCCGGGAGAUUGCAAAUAACCUGCUUUCUUUCUGUUCCCAGGUGGCGUCGGACCCCUGUCAGAGAGUAAAUCUCAAGUAAGGUACCUGCCAUCGGCAGAUUUGAGCUUUCUUCUUGGACACCUAAUACCCACAGUCCUCCAGGCUCCGGUAGACUGCAAAUGACCUGCUUUCUUUCUGUUCCCGGGCUGCGUUUGGACCCCUGUCGGAUAGUAAAUCCCAAGCUCCGGUAGACUGCAAAUGACCUGCUUUCUUUCUGUUCCCGGGCUGCGUUUGGACCCCUGUCGGACAGUAAAUCCCAAGUAAGGUACCUGCCCUCGGCAGAUUUGAGCUUUCUUCUUGGACACCUAAUACCCACAGUCCUCCAGGAAUGGAACAGAUAAGAAGAUACUGAAAUUGGACGGUGCUGCCGUGCGGCUGCCGCAGGACACCUUUAAUAUCCCUGUUUCUCAGGCUGUAGAUGAAGGGGUUCAGCAUGGAGGUGAUCACCGUGUACAUCACUGAGGCCACUGCAGCCUUUCUCGGGGAAGAUGACACAUCUGAACUGAGGUACCCUCCAAAGCCUGUUCCGUAAAAUCAGCAAACAACUGACAGGAUAACUUCAGGAAGUGGGUAUUAAUUCUCACGGUAUAAGUGAAGACAUUAAGCACCAGAGUUUAAGUAGCUUGAUCCACUGAAAGAGAUUCAACUGUGUGGAACCUAUGCCGUGGAGAAUUGCUUUCUGCCAUUGUUAUCGUCCAGCAGUUGCCGAAUAGCUCUGACCUGAGCAAAGCAGUGAAACGCGGUGCUGUUGAGUGGGUUGCCACUGCACCUUUUUCAACUACUCUAGUCUUGUGGAGAAAAUACCCCUUCUAAAUUUUUUCUUCAUUGAAUACUCUCCCUCAGCUCCAGAGUACCAUAUAGAGUUUUCUUGUAUUUUAGAGUUACUGUUUUAUCAAAGUUUACCAGUCUUUUGUAUUACAUUUCUCCUGUCUAAAUCGACUGUGUGGUUUCUACUCAUUAUGGAUAUAGAUUGAUACAAACUCAAUAAAUAUUUUUGAAUGAAUAA